AUUGAACGCUGGCGACAUGCCUUACACAUGCAAGUCGAACGGCAGCACGGGUGCUUGCACCUGGUGGCGAGUGGCGAACGGGUGAGUAAUACAUCGGAACAUGUCCUGUAGUGGGGGAUAGCCCGGCGAAAGCCGGAUUAAUACCGCAUACGAUCUACGGAUGAAAGCGGGGGACCUUCGGGCCUCGCGCUAUCGGGUUGGCCGAUGGCUGAUUAGCUAGUUGGUGGGGUAAAGGCCUACCAAGGCGACGAUCAGUAGCUGGUCUGAGAGGACGACCAGCCACACUGGGACUGAGACACGGCCCAGACUCCUACGGGAGGCAGCAGUGGGGAAUUUUGGACAAUGGGCGAAAGCCUGAUCCAGCAAUGCCGCGUGUGUGAAGAAGGCCUUCGGGUUGUAAAGCACUUUUGUCCGGAAAGAAAUCCUUGGCCCUAAUACGGUCGGGGGAUGACGGUACCGGAAGAAUAAGCACCGGCUAACUACGUG
rnacentral:rRNA from 1 species